rnacentral:rRNA from 1 species
UACGUAGGGUGCGAGCGUUGUCCGGAAUUAUUGGGCGUAAAGAGCUCGUAGGCGGCCUGUCGCGUCGGAUGUGAAAGCCCUCGGCUCAACUGAGGAAGUGCAUCCGAAACUGGCAGGCUAGAGUACUAAAGAGGGUCGCGGAAUUCCCGGUGUAGAGGUGAAAUUCGUAGAUAUCGGGAGGAACACCGGUGGCGAAGGCGGCGACCUGGGUAGAUACUGACGCUGAGGUGCGAAAGCGUGGGGAGCAAACAGG